AAAAAAUUUUUAUGGUUUAAAAAAUUUAUUUAAAAUUUAUUUUACAUAUAAAUUUUAGUGUUAAUUUUAAUUAUUUAAAUAAUAAUUAAUUUAUUAUAAGUAGUAAUUAAUAUUAAAUAUUUAAGUAAUUAAGAUUUAGUAAUAUAAGAAUUAAUAACAAAUUUUGUGCCAGCAGUUGCGGUUAUACAAAAAUUAAAAUAAAUUUUUUUAGUUAUUAAUAAAUAAUUUAAAAUAAAAUAAUUUAAAUUUUAAUUUAUUAGGUGAAAUUUUAAUUUAAUUAAAAAUUAUUUUUAUGAAAUUAAUAAAUUUUAAUUAUAAACUAGGAUUAGAUACCCUAUUAUUGAAAAAUUAAAUUUAUAAUACUAAAAUAUUAGAUUUUUAUUGAAACUUAAAUAAUUUGGCGGUAUUUUAGUUCAUUUAGAGGAAUCUGUCUAAUAAUUGAUAAUCCACGAAUAAAUUUACUUAAUUUAUUAUUUUGUAUAUCGUUGUUAAAAAAAUAUUUUUUAAUGAUUAAUAAUAUUUAAAAAUUUAAAUUUAAAAUUAAAUCAAAUCAAGAUGCAGAUUAUAAUUAAGAAUAUGAUGGAUUACAAUAAAUUUAUUUAAGAGGAUAUUAAUAUGUAAUAUUAAUUGAAAAUGGAUUUAAAUGUAAUUUUUUUUAAUUUAUAAAAAUGAUUAAUAAUUAAAAUAUGUACAUAUUGCCCGUCGCUUUCAUUUAAAAAUUGAAAUAAGUCGUAACAAAGUAGAAGUACUGGAAAGUGUUUCUAGAAAGAA
rnacentral:ncRNA from 1 species